AUAAUUAAAACAAACGGCAUGGCGUGGCUUUGCCGGAGGCUCCAUUUUUGGUCUUCGGCAAAGAAAUUCCAACUUAAAAAAUAAAUAAAAACAGCGCAAAGCCGCCUGCCGCUGCAGCCCACCAUCAAGCUGCUGCUCGGGGGCCGCUUGUCCGCCGCCGCUGCUCCGGGGAGAGAAGGGGAGAGAUAGGGGCGUGUGGAGAGCCAGGGCAGCCCGCGUCCGCCUGCCGCCGGAGCUGCUGGCCGUGCCUCGCCGCCUCCGCUGCGGUUCCCCCGGUCGCCCGCCCGCACCGCUGCGUCGUCGUGCCCGCUACCCAGCCCUGCCGCCAACCUAUCUGGGCCGCCUGCCUGCAGCCGCUGCCCAUGCUCGCUGCCCGGUCUCGCCGCCGCCCCUGCUCUUCGCGCCGCCUGCAGCCCUGCACGCACGCUCCGCCGGUUGAAGCCGGGUCACAGAGAGAGAGGGAGAGAGAGCGCGCGCCGCCACUGCUUGCCCAGCCGCCGGGCGGGCCACCCGCUGCCGCGCCUCGCGCCCCCGCUACUUGCCCCGCCGCCGGGAGCGCCCCCUGCUGCCGCGCCUCGCUGGGCAGGCCGUUAGAUUUGGUGGUUGAUCUCGCUCAGGAAAUGGUCACUCAUGUGCAAAGAUGGUGGGUGAACUCUUUCUGCCAGGCGGUGUCUCAAAUCUUAGGGGCACCCUUGCUACUGACCUGGAUCUGAGAGAUACAUUUUCAGGUUCUCCCCCUCCAUCAGGGGUUAUCAUAUCAGUGCGUAGAUUGCUUUGCACGACAUCAGAGCUUGACCAAACUUUAACGUCCAGCGUAGCUUCACUGAAGAACCAAUGUCAAUGCCUAACUGACGCUCCCUGGUCACAUGUAACAGCCACAACCCACAACUGUAUUAAUGCAAACUCCGGUUGACCGGAUUUCUAUUAAUGUGGAUGCAGCGAUCUUUGCUUCUUCUUCAAGCUCAGCUGCUGGUGUGGUGUUCAGGAACCACUUGGGUGCUUGUGUGCUGGCCUGCUGAUAAUUCUUCACUAACACUUCCUCACCUGAAAUUGCGGAGGCUCUCGCUAUGCGAUGUGCUGUUGCUCUUGCUGUGGAAGAGGGUUUUCAACGUGUGGCCUUUCAAUCCAAUUGUCUUGGCUUGGUUUUAAAGCGGAAUUCUACUGCCAGAGAUAGAACCACAACAGGCUCCAUUAAUGUAGCUGAGAUCAAGAAUGGCUUCUGAUUUUUCUUA